UACGAAGGGGGCUAGCGUUGUUCGGAAUUACUGGGCGUAAAGCGCGUGUAGGCGGGUCUUUAAGUCAGGGGUGAAAUGCCAAGGCUCAACCUUGGAACUGCCUUUGAUACUGGAGAUCUUGAGUCCGGGAGAGGUGAGUGGAAUUGCGAGUGUAGAGGUGAAAUUCGUAGAUAUUCGCAAGAACACCAGUGGCGAAGGCGGCUCACUGGCCCGGUACUGACGCUGAGGUGCGAAAGCG
rnacentral:rRNA from 1 species